AUUUUCACAAAGUAUUCGAUGAUGAAAGAUAAUUCUGUCCCCCUGGUGGUGAACUAAAGAAAUGUUAACAGUGCUUUUGUUUUCUCCUAAUUGUUUUCAGACCUCAGAUGCCCAGUCUCCUUGCAUUCUUUUCCUGAGUGGGCUAUUUGUUGGGAAACGGUUCAAAGGUGCUUCCAGAUCUGUCAACUAAUACAGUGUUGGUUUGGCUUAGUUGAUAGCAACCUAAAUUUGAGCCAGAAGGUUUUGGCUCAUGCUCUAUAGCAGGACAUUGGAGGAAUUUUGAAUAUUGCAAUAUAUCAGAGUUAUAGCUUGCCACAUGCUUGUUUACCUUAUCUUGCAGUAUGCAAGUUGACCAUAAUUCCUUAAAUGGUGAGAAGUGUAAAUAAAAUUGAACUGAUCAGAAGUCUUACUGCAGGAUUCUAGAAAAUCAGCAUGAGAGAUAUACCAGCAUCACAUUCUUGAUCAAAAGUUUAGAAUGGGAAUUAUACUUUGCAACUUUCUGGAGUCUUACUACUUGGAUGAGCAAGCAUACAGGAUCAAGAAGCUUGGAGAUCACAUCACCUACCUGAAGAGACUGGAAGACCCUGAGAAUGGCAUGGGAGAAUACCUGUUUGACAAACUCACCUUCUAGGUGUUGAAAUGUAAUCCAAACCUGCUUUCCUGUCUCUUGCUGAAUAAAAUUAUUAAUCAUGAAGUAGAAAUAAAAA